AUUGAACGCUGGCGGCAUGCCUUACACAUGCAAGUCGAACGGCAGCACGGGAGCAAUCCUGGUGGCGAGUGGCGAACGGGUGAGUAAUAUAUCGGAACGUGCCCAGUCGUGGGGAUAACGUAGCGAAAGCUACGCUAAUACCGCAUACGAUCUAUGGAUGAAAGCGGGGGAUCGCAAGACCUCGCGCGAUUGGAGCGGCCGAUAUCAGAUUAGGUAGUUGGUGAGGUAAAGGCUCGCCAAGCCGACGAUCUGUAGCUGGUCUGAGAGGACGACCAGCCANACUGGGACUGAGACACGGGCCCCAGACUCCUACGGGAGGCAGCAGUGGGGAAUUUUGGACAAUGGGCGCAAGCCUGAUCCAGCAAUGCCGCGUGCAGGAUGAA
rnacentral:rRNA from 1 species